ensembl:lncRNA
CUCUCCUUAGGGCGUGGCGCCCGGCCUGAGUGUGCCUGAGAGUGUAUGUGUGUGUGUGUGUGUGUGUGUGUGUGUGUGUGUGUGUGUGUGUGUGUGUGUGUGUUGUGUGUGUGUGUGUGGCGACUGGCUUUUCCCUGAGCGCAGGGAGGGACUGGGUGGAGCCCGGAGGCCAAGACCCAGAGCCAGCUACAGCUCGUGAGAAGGAAACGCCCUCUUCGUGUAGUUGCUUCACCUUCCCCGACACCGCUACUCCCUAGCACCCUCUGCCCUCUCAGUUCCAACCAGGGCUACAAAUGCGGAGCUCUUGACCCGGAUGACCCGGAUGCCUAAAGUUUGGAGCCAUAUGAGCUGGGCAGGGAUUGGCCAGAGGCCCAGAGGUUUAGUCAUAAGGGAAGCACAUGUCCUAUGGAAACCUCAUUGGGAUACUCAGCUCCUCAUGAACUGAGCCAGAGAAAAGGAUGCUUCUUGCUUGACUUGGCUUGGCUCUCCAACUGGCAUUCAUUUACAAAAGAAAAAGGCAAUGUGCUGUGGUAUGCUUCCCUUCUGUGAGAAGAAACAGAGAGCUAGUUUGACACCUUCCAAAGUGACCUACAGUUUUAAAGCAGGUUUUCCCCUUGUACUUCAAUAUUAUGCCCCCUGGGGGGCGGGGACUAUGUAUGCCCAGCCCUCUUGAGGAUAACUACUUCAAAAAAAAACAAAAAACAAACAAACAAACAAACAACAACAACAACAACAACACUUCCAAAGAACACUUGGUGAGCAAAAUUAUACUGGCCAGUGAUAUAACUCUAGCCUUUACAAAGGAACGAAUUGCCUUUACAUUACUGACCUUCAGUGGGAGAAUACCAAUGGCAGAGUGCAUCACAAGCCUGGGCUGUCCCCCUAAUGCUCCAAGAUGGCAAAAUCACUUCUACCUCCGUUAUAGUUGUUGUUUUAGAGCUUGGAACUGCCCCGAUGCAUUCCCACACUGUGAUAAUUCUGCUUUCUUUUGGCAAGCUGUGGCUAAGAAGCAUGGGGAAGUUUCGGCAGUGGUAGGGGAACUAAUAUGCACUUCUGAUUGGGGGGGGCGAGUCCAUAUGUUCUCAGGUUAGUGGGGUUCAUGCAUCACCUGGCCCGGUCAUGCCUCCAAUCAGCUGCACAUCAGAGACAAUUAGAGUAUAUGUCUUCCAAACCACAGACUCUUGAGCCUGACACUCGACCCUCUCCAGGGUAGCUUUUGGGAUGUUGCAUUUUAGUGCGCGAUGAAAUGUAAGCUAACUUUGGGGAAAGCAAGUAGGAG